rnacentral:rRNA from 1 species
GUAGGUGGCAAGCGUUGUCCGGAAUUAUUGGGCGUAAAGCGCGCGCAGGCGGUUCUUUAAGUCUGAUGUGAAAGCCCACGGCUCAACCGUGGAGGGUCAUUGGAAACUGGAGAACUUGAGUACAGAAGAGGAAAGCGGAAUUCCACGUGUAGCGGUGAAAUGCGUAGAGAUGUGGAGGAACACCAGUGGCGAAGGCGGCUUUCUGGUCUGUAACUGACGCUGAGGCGCGAAAGCGUGGGGAGCAAACAGGGAUUAGAUACCCUGGUAGUCCACGCCGUGAACGAUGAGUGCUAAGUGUUAGGGGGGUUUUCCGCCCCCCUUAGUGCUGCAGCUAACGCAUUAAGCACUCCGCCUGGGAGUACGGCCGCAAGGCUG